GACGAACGCUGGCGGCGUGCUUAACACAUGCAAGUCAAACGGUAAGGCCCUUCGGGGUACACGAGUGGCGAACGGGUGAGUAACACGUGGGUGAUCUGCCCUGCACUUCGGGAUAAGCCUGGGAAACUGGGUCUAAUACCGGAUAGGACUCCUGGCUUCAUGGUUGGGGGUGGAAAGCCUUUGCGGUGUGGGAUGGGCCCGCGGCCUAUCAGCUUGUUGGUGGGGGAAUGGCCUACCAAGGCGACGACGGGUAGCCGGCCUGAGAGGGUGACCGGUCACACUGGGACUGAGAUACGGCCCAGACUCCUACGGGAGGCAGCAGUGGGGAAUAUUGCACAAUGGGCGCAAGCCUGAUGCAGCGACGCCGCGUGAGGGAUGACGGCCCUCGGGUUGUAAACCUCUUUCAGCUAUGACGAAGCGCAAGUGACGGUAGUAGCAGAAGAAGGACCGGCCAACUACGUGCCAGCAGCCGCCGUAA
rnacentral:rRNA from 1 species